rnacentral:rRNA from 1 species
GACGAACGUUGGCGGCGUGCUUAACACAUGCAAGUCGAACGGAAAGGCCCUGCUUUUGUGGGGUGCUCGAGUGGCGAACGGGUGAGUAACACGUGAGUAACCUGCCCUUGACUUUGGGAUAACUUCAGGAAACUGGGGCUAAUACCGGAUAGGAGCUCCUGCUGCAUGGUGGGGGUUGGAAAGUUUCGGCGGUUGGGGAUGGACUCGCGGCUUAUCAGCUUGUUGGUGGGGUAGUGGCUUACCAAGGCUUUGACGGGUAGCCGGCCUGAGAGGGUGACCGGCCACAUUGGGACUGAGAUACGGCCCAGACUCCUACGGGAGGCAGCAGUGGGGAAUAUUGCACAAUGGGCGGAAGCCUGAUGCAGCAACGCCGCGUGCGGGAUGACGGCCUUCGGGUUGUAAACCGCUUUCGCCUGUGACGAAGCGUGAGUGACGGUAAUGGGUAAAGAAGCACCGGCUAACUACGUGCCAGCAGCCGCGGUGAUACGUAGGGUGCGAGCGUUGUCCGGAUUUAUUGGGCGUAAAGGGCUCGUAGGUGGUUGAUCGCGUCGGAAGUGUAAUCUUGGGGCUUAACCCUGAGCGUGCUUUCGAUACGGGUUGACUUGAGGAAGGUAGGGGAGAAUGGAAUUCCUGGUGGAGCGGUGGAAUGCGCAGAUAUCAGGAGGAACACCAGUGGCGAAGGCGGUUCUCUGGGCCUUUCCUGACGCUGAGGAGCGAAAGCGUGGGGAGCGAACAGGCUUAGAUACCCCGGUAGUCCACGCUGUAAACGGUGGGUACUAGGUGUGGGGUCCAUUCCACGGGUUCCGUGCCGUAGCUAACGCUUUAAGUACCCCGCCUGGGGAGUACGGCCGCAAGGCUAAAACUCAAAGGAAUUGACGGGGCCCCGCACAAGCGGCGGAGCAUGCGGAUUAAUUCGAUGCAACGCGUAGAACCUUACCUGGGUUUGACAUGGAUCGGGAGUGCUCAGAGAUGGGUGUGCCUCUUUUGGGGUCGGUUCACAGGUGGUGCAUGGCUGUCGUCAGCUCGUGUCGUGAGAUGUUGGGUUAAGUCCCGCAACGAGCGCAACCCUUGUUCACUGUUGCCAGCACGUUAUGGUGGGGACUCAGUGGAGACCGCCGGGGUCAACUCGGAGGAAGGUGGGGAUGACGUCAAGUCAUCAUGCCCCUUAUGUCCAGGGCUUCACGCAUGCUACAAUGGCUGGUACAGAGAGUGGCGAGCCUGUGAGGGUGAGCGAAUCUCGGAAAGCCGGUCUCAGUUCGGAUUGGGGUCUGCAACUCGACCUCAUGAAGUCGGAGUCGCUAGUAAUCGCAGAUCAGCAACGCUGCGGUGAAUACGUUCCCGGGGCU